UUGUCACAAUGGCAUUAGUUACGAAAGACACAAACCUGAAAGGAAAGAAAUUUUUUGUCGUUUCUCUUUUCCUCCACUUCCUGGCUGUGCCCAGAUUCAACGAUCUGUGUGGCGACGCGCAAUGCAUGACCAUCACCAAGGACAGCUCUUCUUUCAGCAACACAUUCAUUGAACUUGUUCAAAUCAAAGUCCGGAUCUGGAUACAACGAUGUUUCUUCAUGUGGAAUAGUAACUGGUGUUGAUUCAGGGAUGGACAGCGAUGGAAGAAGAUAGCCAGCCACUGGUACCAGAGAAUGAAACCUGUGAAUAAAAAGUAUGUUUAGCAAAAUGACAUUUUAUAGCUUUAUAUCAUUCAGUUGCAGCAUUCUAACUUUGAACAUUGAACAAGCCAUUGUGAUUCCACAAUAUAACCAUUCCAGUUUCUAA